UAACCUGCCUUGGAGUGGGGAAUAACAGUUGGAAACAGCUGCUAAUACCGCAUGAUGCAGUUGAGUCGCAUGGCUCUGACUGCCAAAGAUUUAUCGCUCUGAGAUGGACUCGCGUCUGAUUAGCUAGUUGGCAGGGUAACGGCCCACCAAGGCGACGAUCAGUAGCCGGACUGAGAGGUUGGCCGGCCACAUUGGGACUGAGACACGGCCCAGACUCCUACGGAAGGCAGCAG
rnacentral:rRNA from 1 species